ACAUGCAAGUCGAACGAAGUAGCAAUACUUAGUGGCAGACGGGUGAGUAACAUGUGGGUAUCUACCCUAUGGCCUGGAAUAACACGAGGAAACUUGUGCUAAUACUGGAUAAGUCUUUACGGAGAAAGCUUUAUGCACCAUUGGAUGAGCCUGCACUUGAUUAGUUUGUUGGUAGGGUAAUGGCCUACCAAGACUUUGAUCAAUAGCUGAUUUGAGAGGAUGAUCAGCCACAUUGGGACUGAGACACGGCCCAAACUCCUACGGGAGGCAGCAGUGGGGAAUCUUGCACAAUGGAGGAAACUCUGAUGCAGCGAUGCCGCGUGAGUGAAGAAGGCCCUUGGGUUGUAAAGCUCUUUCGUCGGGGAAGAAAAUGACUGUACCCGAAUAAGAAGGUCCGGCU
rnacentral:rRNA from 1 species